AUAAUUUCAUUUGCAAUUAUUGUCCAGGUGGCUGACUCAAAAAGGUGUUCGGCAAAAGAAGCUAAAUGAAUGGCUUGGAAAUGAAAACACAGAAGACCAAUACUCUAUGGUGGAUGAUGAUGAAGACUUGCCGCAUCAUGAUGAGAGAACAUGGAAUGUGGGAAAUAUCAAUAGAAGCCAAGCUGAAAAUCUCCUGCGAGGAAAGCGAGAUGGAACAUUCCUUGUUCGAGAGAGCAGCAAACAAGGCUGCUAUGCCUGCUCUGUUGUGGUGGAUGGAGAAGUGAAGCACUGUGUGAUAAACAAAACACCUACUGGGUAUGGAUUUGCAGAGCCAUACAACUUGUACAACUCUCUCAAAGAACUGGUGCUACAUUAUCAACACACAUCCCUCGUGCAGCACAAUGACUCUCUCAAUGUCACACUAGCCUACCCAGUAUAUGCACAGCAGAGGCGAUGAAGAUCUUAAUACUCUGGGUUGUUUGGUUUUUUUCUAAAGAAGAGAUUUGACAACACUGAGGCCUCUGGAGUGAGAAGGCUCCUUUCAGCCUUACUCAAGAAUUUGAGCUGCAGUGUCAAAGCUGUCUGUCUUCUGAUGGGACUAGAGCUUUCCUUCACAACUGCAGUGGGAGAGAUCACAGUGUUAAACUGUGAAUGUAUGUUUCUAAUCUGAAGUGCUUUUUUUUUUUCCUUCCCAAUUGAGAAACGGAAAACACAAGAAUGAGAAAUCCUAACCUGAUCUCCCUGCAGGGACAUAGAGGCCUUUAACCAUGGUGCUUGUUUACGACCACUUCUGAAGCUUUACCAGCUAGAACAUUGGAUUCUGCAAACAUAAGAUUUAAGAGGUCUUUUCAUUCACUUAUUGAAAUUUCUUGGUCGCGACCUGGCUGGAAUUUGGUGUUGCCGCACUAAGUGGAUCCAGACACACAGCAUUGUGGAUUUUUUGGUUUCUGGUGAAUGACAUGUAGCAGAAUGGCACUUUCAUUUAUAAGGGACACUUUAAAGGACUUCAGUUACAGUAUGCUGUUAAGAGAAAUCGUGAUAGUGAAGUGCCAGAAAGUGUUUUGCUUAGACGUUUAAAAAUCCUGUUUUAAGAAAACAGGUCUUUCAGUGGCAUACAGUCUAUAAUAGUGUACAUAGUAUUGGAUGGCUAACUAUCAUUUAUGGAAACUAUCAAUACCAAACUGCUUCUCUUUUCCCCUUUGUUUGCUGAAAGCUGAAUUCUUAGACCAUGCUAUGCAAUACUGAAUUUUCUUUAGGCUGUAGUCUUCACUUGAGCAUGUCUACACGUUAAGCUUGUUUUUCUUUCUUCUUUCCUUGCUUUCUUUUUACUUUUUUUUUUUGCCUGAUUAUUUUUUUUUUAAUGUACAGGAAGCCACCAAGAGUUGGCUUAAUAAUUAAAACUAUGAAAUAUUUUAGUUUUCUUUGUACAGAAUAUUGAGCUACUAGCUCCACGUUUGAAAAGUUCGUAAUUUUUUUUUUGACUAAAUAUUUUGUUGGGCAGUGCCUGAUAAGCUUCAAAGCUGCUUUAUUCAAUAAAAAAUAUACGAACCUUACAAAAUAUCAAGGACUCCAACAAUAUUGUUUCAGAGACAUCUUUAGAAUACGGUACCACGCUAUGUUUGCUUUUUGAAGCAUUUUGAACUUCUGUCAUGAUUGUCUUUGUAUUUAGAAGCUAAAAAAUUGUGUAUCCUUCUCUGAUAAUGACUGCAGAAAAACAGGAAAAUUUGGCUACUGGAUUAGAUAGGUUGGAUUUCGUAAUGAAAUCAUGCUUCAUAGUAAAUAAAUGACAUCUUGAUCUAUUGCGGCAGAAUUCUUGUCAGCAUGUCAAGGUAUUUUCAUUUCAUAUGAAGGAAGUUUCUCUUAACUGUUGCCGAAGUUUGUUUUUUCAUAUCAAUAUUCUGAAAAAAGUUCCCAUCUUUAGGUAGAACAAACGGAUACAACAUGAGCGAAUUACAACUGGAAAACCUCUGUUUUGACAAUGAUAAGGCUUUCCUAAUUAACACUUUGCAUUUGUUUUCAUAACUUUGUAGACUGAGGGAAUAUCAAAGUGAACACUUUCAUAAUUUCAAGCUCCAGAGAUUUUCAGAGUUAUGGUUCAGUUAAAGGAAAUUUAAAAAAUUCAACUAAACUAAACUUAUUAGUAAUUCUGGGGCAAUUUACUGUGGAUGGUUUGUGAUGGCCAUGUUUUGCCAUCAAGUUGUCUCAUGAUAGUUCUGCUUUAGAGAUACAUGUGAUUUGAUUCCAAGUAUGCAGUGCUUCUUAAGCUAUUGGAAAUAAUAAGAAAUUUGCAGGUCUCCAGUAGUUAUUAUAUUCUAUUUUUUACAUUAUCCCUUCAUUUAUGAGGCUGUAAAUCUUUUAAUCUUAUUUGGAUUUUGUGCUUUUUUUGGUAGGUUGUUUUUGCUUUCCUAUAGAUGUAUUUUCUUGCUAGAAUCUAUAUCGGGAAACAAGAUUCAACCAACAGUCAUGUGUCGGGAUAGUUACCACUUGCAAAAUUAUUCUGAAUUUUUUUUUUCUGAAUAGAGUUUUAGUCUUCAUGCUUUCCCUUCUGCAUUCCACUCUCUUUUCAGGCCUCUCAGAGUAGAACCAUGUAAAUUUGGCAUUCUAAUAACUGUUUUUUACUAUGAAGAACACCAACAAUUGCUCUAGCAUGACAGUCAUACUACUGGGCUUGAAGUUACAAAUUAGCUCAAUACACAACUUAACACUUGUAGCAAUCCGAGGUAUUCUUCAGACAUAUAUUAAUUUUUGAAUGUUAAAUAUUUUACAAGUAAAAUAGUAUUUUUUUUUUUCCUCUGUAAGCAAAAUAAUGUGUAAUCUGAAUGGAUGUUUCACUUUGUAUUUCUCAAGAAACUUCAUGGGAGUUAAGGCAUUUGGAUUUUCCUCAUAUUAAGUAAACCUCUGCUGUGUCAGUGGGCCAUAUCCUUAGCAUGCCCAGCCCGGUAAGGGAUGUCAUUUGUUCCUGUUGUGCUGUACUACUUCACUUCAUCUGUGGUUCUAGCAGAGAAAAAAUAGUGUGUGUGCAAAUUUGGCACUUGCUUUUAUUGCACAAGCAACAAUGAGAAAUAAGCACUAUGUUGUGGGGAUAAAUGCUUAGGGCUUCGUUAAGGGAAGUUCUGCCUACACAGGGUCUGUGCAAUUCACAAGCAUCACUUGCGCCCUCCAAGUGGGCGUGAGUGGGAUUACUUUGGUACCUGGAUAUUGUGUGCCCUCUGUAUUUCCCUCCCUCCUUAAUGCAUGGAGUUGCAUCCUGCCAAAGGCCCUAUUCACUGCAGAGUUUGUCCUUAAUAUUCCAUACUGUUCACUCCAGUUUUGAUUUGAUCUCAGACUAAUAAACUGAAGGAAAAAAAAAAAAAGCAUGUGGAUGUAACCGAAGAAACACAUUGCUUCUGUGUUUCUAUUGACGUGUACUUUUUCCACCUAAUAUGACUGAAAGGUGGGAAUUGUUUUGGUUCUUUUUACCGGUUGUUCGGGGAAUUUUUAAUUUCAUUUUAAAUCCCUGAAUUAUGCUGCACUGCAGCAGCGGUUGUGCAAGGCUUUUGAAAGGUAUGAGGCAAAACACAGAGAACCAACACCCACAAGCAAAAUUAGGAGUUUCUGUUUGGGGAUAUUGCAUGUGUGCAUCUUGUGCAUAUGCGCACACACUUGCUGUGUUUAUAUAUGAAUAGAUCUCAGUAUAGGUGCAUUUUCACCAAAUGUGAUCAUUUUGCUGAAUUCAGUAAGUGAUAUCAUUAAUUUUGUGUAAGACACAAAACGCACUAGACCUUCGUGGGUGCAGCAUGUUUCCAAAUGCAGUUUCUGUGUUGUUGUUUUUUACUAAAAAAAAAAAAAAAAAAAGACUUGUCUGUAUAGUUCAGUUAUCUAAAAAAUCUUGUCAAAAUAUCUGUAAAACCAAAUCUUCAAAUUUUCUAUUUGGUGUCAGCUGUUCUGUAGUAAAGAAAUGGCUUUGUCUUGUAAUUGGCAAUGAAAUAAUGCUUGCGAAAACAUGCAGAUGCUUCUAAUGGGGAAAACUUACGCCAAUUUUCACACAGUGCUUUUGCUAUGCAUGGUAUUAAGUUGGGAAAGUGAAUCCUGGUAGUAUUUUUUUCAGGGUCACUUUUAGAAAUGGGCAGCUCAAAACACAAUGCCUCCCAUAGGACAGGAUUCCAAAAUGUGACAUUUUAUGUAGAAUUGUGUUGUGUUUGCUGAGUGGAAGGCUAAACUGGACUGGGGGAGUUGGUAACGUUACAUUGCGCUUGUCCUAAUGAGACUGCAUUAGCUGCCCAAGAUGCUGCUAUUUUUUUUAUUAUUAUUAUUCUUGUUUUUAAAAAUAAAGCUCUGUUCUGUUAAAUGUCUUUAAAACAUUAAGAAUGCUUUGUUUUAAAAUGGUCUUCAAGGGGGUGGAGGGUAAAGUGGGUUGUAAAUUGCCUUCACAAGGCAAUAGUGAAAACAUGCCUCCUUGAAAUUCUGUUCAAGCUAUAGAGUUGAUGGAGCUGUGUCUUGUUUUUAAGUUGCUUUAAAAAUUGUAAUAAGUCUUCAAGCAGAAUAAAAGUUGUUUUGAAAAAGCA